rnacentral:tRNA from 1 species
UAUAAGGUAGGCUAAACUAUAAGCCAGUGGGCUCAUAACCCAAACAUGAAACUUUCCCUUAU